UAGGGAAUAUUGCGCAACGGGCGAAAGCCUGACGCAGCGACACCGUGUGUAGGAUGAAGAUCUUCGGAUUGUAAACUACUGUCAGUUGAAGACGAAGGUAUUAGAGUUAAGAGCUUGAGUAUUGACGGUAUUCAACGAGGAAGUCUCGGCUAACUCGUGCCAGCAGCCGCGGUAAGACGGAGGAGGCAAGCAUUGUCCGGAAUUAUUGGGCGUAAAGAACACGUAGGCGGUUUUUCAAGUCAAUUGUGAAAACCUCGGGCUUAACUUGAGGAUUGCACUUGAUACUGGAUAACUAGAGUACAGUAGAGGAAAGUGGAAUUCCUGGUGUAGCGGUGAAAUGCGCAGAUAUCAGGAAGAACACCAGUGGCGAAAGCGGCUUUCUGGACUGUUACUGACGCUGAGGUGGGAAAGCUAGGGGAGCGAACAG
rnacentral:rRNA from 1 species